rnacentral:rRNA from 1 species
GUGGGGAAUUUUGGACAAUGGGCGCAAGCCUGAUCCAGCAAUGCCGCGUGCAGGAAGAAGGCCUUCGGGUUGUAAACUGCUUUUGUACGGAACGAAACGGUCCGGGUUAAUACCCUGGGCUAAUGACGGUACCGUAAGAAUAAGCACCGGCUAACUACGUGCCAGCAGCCGCGGUAAUACGUAGGGUGCAAGCGUUAAUCGGAAUUACUGGGCGUAAAGCGUGCGCAGGCGGUUUUGUAAGACAGGCGUGAAAUCCCCGGGCUCAACCUGGGAAUUGCGCUUGUGACUGCAAGGCUGGAGUGCGGCAGAGGGGGAUGGAAUUCCGCGUGUAGCAGUGAAAUGCGUAGAUAUGCGGAGGAACACCGAUGGCGAAGGCAAUCCCCUGGGCCUGCACUGACGCUCAUGCACGAAAGCGUGGGGAGCAAACAGGAUUAGAAACCCGGUAGUCC